GCUUGGGUGGCUCAGUCGGUUAAGCGUCUGACUCGGUUGUGGCUCAGGUCAUGAUCUCAUGGUUCGUGGGUUCGAGCCCCACAUCAGGCU
rnacentral:tRNA from 1 species